UUUAUACUCCCUCCGUCUCAAAAUAAGUGACUUCAAAAUGACUCAAAUCUACACUAACUUUAGUACAAAGUGAGUCAUUUUUGAGUCACUUAUUUUGGGACGGAGGGAGUACAAG
rnacentral:pre_miRNA from 1 species